GAUACCUACGGGACGCAGCAGUAGGGAAUAUUGCUCAAUGGGGGAAACCCUGAAGCAGCAACGCCGCGUGGAGGAUGAAGGUUUUCGGAUUGCAAACUCCUUUUGUUAGAGAAGAUAAUGACGGUAUCUAACGAAUAAGCACCGGCUAACUCCGUGCCAGCAGCCGCGGUAAUACGGAGGGUGCAAGCGUUACUCGGAAUCAUUGGGCGUAAAGAGCGCGUAGGCGGGAUAGCGAGUCAGAUGUGAAAUCCUAUGGCCUAACCAUAGAACUGCAUUUGAAACUGUUAUUCUAGAGUAUGGGAGCG
rnacentral:rRNA from 1 species